GACGUAGGGCGCGAGCGUUGUCCGGAUUUAUUGGGCGUAAAGAGCUCGUAGGCGGCUUGUCGCGUCGACUGUGAAAUCCCGCGGCUCAACUGCGGGUCUGCAGCCGAUACGGGCAGGCUAGAGUUCGGUAGGGGAGACUGGAAUUCCUGGUGUAGCGGUGAAAUGCGCAGAUAUCAGGAGGAACACCGGUGGCGAAGGCGGGUCUCUGGGCCGAUACUGACGCUGAGGCGCGAAAGCGUGGGGAGCAAACAGG
rnacentral:rRNA from 1 species